GAUGAAGAACGUAGCGAAAUGCGAUAAGUAAUGUGAAUUGCAGAAUUCAGUGAAUCAUCGAAUCUUUGAACGCACAUUGCGCCCGCCAGUAUUCUGGCGGGCAUGCCUGUUCGAGCGUCAUUUCAACCAUCAAGCCCCCGGCUUGUGUUGGGGACCUGCGGCUGCCGCAGGCCCUGAAAAGCAGUGGCGGGCUCGCUGUCACACCGAGCGUAGUAGCAUACAUCUCGCUCUGGGCGUGCUGCGGGUUCCGGCCGUUAAACCACCUUCAUAACCCAAGGUUGACCUCGGAUCAGGUAGGAAGACCCGCUGAACUUAAGCUUUUCAAUAAGGGGAGGA
rnacentral:misc_RNA from 1 species